AGAGUUUGAUCCUGGCUCAGAACGAACGCUGGCGGCAUGCCUAACACAUGCAAGUCGAACGAAGGCUUCGGCCUUAGUGGCGCACGGGUGCGUAACGCGUGGGAAUCUGCCCUUAGGUUCGGAAUAACAGCUGGAAACGGCUGCUAAUACCGGAUGAUGACGAAAGUCCAAAGAUUUAUCGCCUGAGGAUGAGCCCGCGUUGGAUUAGGUAGUUGGUGGGGUAAAGGCCUACCAAGCCGACGAUCCAUAGCUGGUCUGAGAGGAUGAUCAGCCACACUGGGACUGAGACACGGCCCAGACUCCUACGGGAGGCAGCAGUGGGGAAUAUUGGACAAUGGGCGAAAGCCUGAUCCAGCAAUGCCGCGUGAGUGAUGAAGGCCCUAGGGUUGUAAAGCUCUUUUACCCGGGAAGAUAAUGACUGUACCGGGAGAAUAAGCCCCGGCUAACUCCGUGCCAGCAGCCGCGGUAAUACGGAGGGGGCUAGCGUUGUUCGGAAUUACUGGGCGUAAAGCGCACGUAGGCGGCUUUGUAAGUCAGAGGUGAAAGCCUGGAGCUCAACUCCAGAACUGCCUUUGAGUCUGCAUCGCUUGAAUCCAGGAGAGGUCAGUGGAAUUCCGAGUGUAGAGGUGAAAUUCGUAGAUAUUC
rnacentral:rRNA from 1 species